UGCUUUUAAAAAUAAUUCGGACAAGAAGGACAAAAUGAGGACAACUCAAUAACGAGUAUUUAUUUAGUAAUAACGAAAUCGGAUUGUCUUCUUGAACGUUUCAAGCCAAAAGACGUAAGAAACGUUGCUUUUGAUUGGACGAUUAGAUGUUUACUCUAACGUCAUAGUAAGUGCCAAAAGACAUAAAUAGGAGCCUGUAGAACAACAUGUCAUUCUGAAUCAAUCUCUUGAACCGUCAACUACCUUUUAUAUUGACCACCCGAUUUAUUGCUUUAUCUGUUGAAUGAUGAAUGUGUAUUUGAUGUUUAUUAUAUUGAAAGAAGAAGUCAAAAUACUACUAAAAUAAAUAUUGUUAUGUUUAUUACAAAUAUGUUUAUCCACAAU
rnacentral:lncRNA from 1 species